AUUGAACGCUGGCGGCAGGCCUAACACAUGCAAGUCGAGCGGAUGAAGUGAGCUUGCUCCUGGAUUCAGCGGCGGACGGGUGAGUAAUGCCUAGGAAUCUGCCUGGUAGUGGGGGAUAACGUCCGGAAACGGGCGCUAAUACCGCAUACGUCCUGAGGGAGAAAGUGGGGGAUCUUCGGACCUCACGCUAUCAGAUGAGCCUAGGUCGGAUUAGCUAGUUGGUGGGGCAAAGGCCUACCAAGGCGACGAUCCGUAACUGGUCUGAGAGGAUGAUCAGUCACACUGGAACUGAGACACGGUCCAGACUCCUACGGGAGGCAGCAGUGGGGAAUAUUGGACAAUGGGCGAAAGCCUGAUCCAGCCAUGCCGCGUGUGUGAAGAAGGUCUUCGGAUUGUAAAGCACUUUAAGUUGGGAGGAAGGGCAGUAAGUUAAUACCUUGCUGUUUUGACGUUACCAACAGAAUAAGCACCGGCUAACUUCGUG
rnacentral:rRNA from 1 species